rnacentral:rRNA from 1 species
UACGUAGGGUGCAAGCGUUGUCCGGAAUUAUUGGGCGUAAAGAGCUCGUAGGCGGUCUGUCGCGUCGGCUGUGAAAACUCGGGGCUCAACUCCGAGCUUGCAGUCGAUACGGGCAGGCUAGAGUUCGGCAGGGGAGACUGGAAUUCCACGUGUAGCGGUGAAAUGCGUAGAGAUGUGGAGGAACACCAAUGGCGAAGGCAGCCAUUCUGGGCCGAACACUGACGCUCAUGCACGAAAGCGUGGGAGCA